rnacentral:rRNA from 1 species
UGCAAGUCGAGCGAACUGAUUAGAAGCUUGCUUCUAUGACGUUAGCGGCGGACGGGUGAGUAACACGUGGGCAACCUGCCUGUAAGACUGGGAUAACUUCGGGAAACCGAAGCUAAUACCGGAUAGGAUCUUCUCCUUCAUGGGAGAUGAUUGAAAGAUGGUUUCGGCUAUCACUUACAGAUGGGCCCGCGGUGCAUUAGCUAGUUGGUGAGGUAACGGCUCACCAAGGCAACGAUGCAUAGCCGACCUGAGAGGGUGAUCGGCCACACUGGGACUGAGACACGGCCCAGACUCCUACGGGAGGCAGCAGUAGGGAAUCUUCCGCAAUGGACGAAAGUCUGACGGAGCAACGCCGCGUGAGUGAUGAAGGCUUUCGGGUCGUAAAACUCUGUUGUUAGGGAAGAACAAGUACGAGAGUAACUGCUCGUACCUUGACGGUACCUAACCAGAAAGCCACGGCUAACUACGUGCCAGCAGCCGCGGUAAUACGUAGGUGGCAAGCGUUAUCCGGAAUUAUUGGGCGUAAAGCGCGCGCAGGCGGUUUCUUAAGUCUGAUGUGAAAGCCCACGGCUCAACCGUGGAGGGUCAUUGGAAACUGGGGAACUUGAGUGCAGAAGAGAAAAGCGGAAUUCCACGUGUAGCGGUGAGAUGCGUA